AACGAACGCUGGUAGCGUGGAUUAGGCAUGCAAGUCGGACGGGAUCGGCCGGUUAGCAAUAAUUGGCCGUGAGAGUGGCGGAUUGGGGAGGAGCACGUGAGCAACCUGCCCUUGGGACGGGGAAAACCGCUGGAAACGGCGGCUAAUACCGGAUGCGGCGCCGGGCGACAUCGCCCGAGCGUCAAAGGGGGCCGCAAGGCUCCCGCCCGAGGAGGGGCUCGCGCACCAUCAGCUUGUUGGCGGGGUAACGGCCCACCAAGGCCUACGGUUGGCUGGUCUGAGAGGAUGACCAGCCCCACUGGGACUGAGACACUGCCCAGACUCCUACGGGAGGCUGCAGUCGAGGAUCAUUUGCAAUGGGCGAAAGCCUGACAAUGCGACGCUGCGUGGAGGAUGAAGGCCUUCGGGUCGUAAACUCCUGUCAUGGGGGAACAGGCGAGGGGACCCAACACGUCCCUUAGUUGAGUGUACUCCAAGAGGAAGGGACGGCUAACUCUGUGCCAGCAGCCGCGGUAAUACAGAGGUCCCUAGCGUUGUUCGGAUUUACUGGGCGUAAAGGGCACGUAGCGGCGGGGCGUGUCGCGUGUGAAAUCUCCGGGCCCAACCCGGAAAGUGCGCGCGAAACUACCUCUCUGGAAUGCGGAAAGGGAUCGGAAUGCAGGGUGUAGCGGUGAAAUGCUUGAUUUCCUGCAAAAACACCCGGAGCGAAAGGCGGAUCCCUUGAACGCUUACUGACGCUAAGUGCGAAAAGCCGGGGGAGCCGAACAGGAUUAAAUUACCCUGGUUAGUCCCGGCCUUAACGGUGCACAUCGGGGUGGGGCCAUUUCACCGGCCCCGUCCCCAAGCCAACGCGUUAAAGUGUGCCGCNUGGGGAGUACGGCCGCAAGGCUAAAACUCAAAGAAAUUGACGGGGGCCCGCACAAGCAGAGGAGCAUGUGGCUUAAUUCGAUGCAACGCGAAGAACCUUACCUGGGCUUGACAUCCAGCUGCAAGGCCUGUGAAAGCAGGCCGCCUUCGAGGGUGCUGGACAGGUGCUGCAUGGCUGUCGUCAGUUCGUGCCGUGAGGUGUUUGGUUAAGUCCACCAACGAACGCAACCCCUAUGGCCCGUUGCCAGCGGGUAACGCCGGGCACUCAGGCCACACUGCCUGUUCACGCAGGAGGAAGGUGGGGAUGACGUCAAGUCAGUAUGGCCCUUACGCCCAGGGCUGCACACGUGCUACAAUGGCCGGUACAGAGGGAAGCGAAGCCGCGAGGCGGAGCCAACCCCAGAGAGCCGGCCCCAGUUCGGAUCGGGGUCUGCAACCCGACCCCGUGAAGUCGGAUUUGCUAGUAACGGCGCAUCAGCUACGGCGCCGUGAAUGCGUUCCCGGGCCUUGUACACACCGCCCGUCACAUCAUGAAAGCCGUCUGCACCCGAAGUCCGGCAUUAAGUCGGCCUAAGGUGUGGGUGGUGAUUGGGAUG
rnacentral:rRNA from 1 species